AUCGGGGCUCCCCCUGGCCUUUAAGGCUCUUCUGUAUCGCAAUAAUGUUUCAUUCCCUCAGGAAAGUGAUGUUUUGAGUGGUUGUUUGCAUGUCUCUGAGCUCUGGACUGGGGUAGGGGCCUUAGGGAACUUCUCUCCAGAGGGUCCCGAAUCUACAUACGUGCCAGGCAAGGCAACUGGCCUAGCUGAUCCUAGCCCAUCAUACGGUUUGAUAUAACUCACUCAGGCUCUGAAACACACUGCAAUGGCAGCUGAACUGCCUUUACACUUUUACCACACAGCCUCAGGAAAUCUUUCAGUAUUUGAAAUCUGAGGUCCUCAGAGACUGAACAGCUUUUCUUUUCUUUUUCAGACUUCAAAAAGUCCGGUAGUUGAAGGCAGUUCUGAAUGGAGAUCUCAUAAUUCCCAAGGAAGCCUUCUACUGUAUCUUGACCUCCUACCAUCUCCUGUUUCUCAGAUGAAGAAACCAAGGCACAAAAGCUUUAAGUGGCUCUACUUAAGUCAUAUUGCCAGAAGUGGCAGCGCUAAGGCUAGACCCCAGAACCCCAGAUGUUUCAUCUCCCACUCCACAACAUGAACUAGCUCUCCUGCUCAGUGUGCUCAGAAUCAGCUGGACUCUGGCUGCCUUUUCCAAACAGGAUCAGUGGAAUGGCAUUCUCACUUAGAUCGCAGAACUCCUCACCAAAUAUAAAACUGAAAAUGUAGGCCACCUGCCCAUGUGAUUGUAUUUCAUAACUCAGAACUAACAAUAGCUCUCAGCUUGCUUGGCCUGUUUAUAACAUAUUAAAAACUUAUAUUCAAAUUCAUUCGCCUCUUGGAUUAAUGUCAAGAUUAUGGCUUUCCAGGUUUCUUUCUCUCCCUGUCUCUCUCUCACCCAGCAGGGCGUGGAUUAUGCUUGUCCAAGUUAUUUUCCCCAUGAAUUACUGACUGCUUAUUUUCAAAGAUGAAUUUCAUGACCUUAUUCUCUUUGCUGUACCUGCAGAAUUCAUUUUGGGAGGCAGAAGAGAGAAGCAGUUAAGAGAGCAAGUUCUAGAGCCAGAUGGGGGUUAAGGCUGUGUCUUCUUGGGCAAGGCAUGAAACCUUUGUCUUAGUUUCCUGAUCAGUGAAAUGGAAGCAAAUAGUGCCUACUUCCUAGGAUUGUUGUGAGGAUUAAACAAAAUAAUUCAUGGCCAGCGUUUAGCUCAGUUUCCGCCACAGAGAGAGUACACAAAUAGGAUAACUGAAAACAAAAAUCAACAAAACGAAAAAUCACCACCACUUAGCAUGACCAAUUUGUCCCAGUUUACCUAGAGCUUUCUGAAUUUAGCACUGAAAGUCCCAAGUCCCAGGAAACCCCUCAGUCCCGGGCAAAUUGGAACAGUUGGAUGAAACCAAAAAAAGGUUUUGAGUUAUUCACUUGUUCGUGAAGUAUUUAUUGAUAACUCAUACAUUUCAGACAUCUAGAUAGCCAAAGGACAAAAAUGAGUCCUUACAGAAUGCUCAAGCUAACGAGAGAGUCAUGAAAAUGGGUAAAUUACAUAUGGGUCUCCUGAGAGUCGGCACAAAAUGUUCAGAGAGUAUAACUCUGAAAUGCACUG
rnacentral:lncRNA from 1 species